GGUGGCGACCGGCAGACGGGUGAGUAACGCGUAUGCAACCUACCCUGUACAGGGGGAUAACCCGGAGAAAUUCGGACUAAUAUCCCAUAAUAUUAUUUGGANNNNNNNNNNNNNNNNNNAAACUGAGGUGGUACGGGAUGGGCAUGCGUAACAUUAGCUAGUUGGUAGGGUAACGGCCUACCAAGGCUACGAUGUUUAGGGGUCCUGAGAGGGUGAUCAGCCACACUGGAACUGAGACACGGACCAGACUCCUACGGGAGGCAGCAGUGAGGAAUAUUGGUCAAUGGGCGCAAGCCUGAACCAGCCAUCCCGCGUGCAGGAUGAAGGCCCUAUGGGUCGUAAACUGCUUUUAUACACCAAGAAAAACACCCACGUGUGGGUGCCCGACGGUAGUGUAUGAAUAAGCAUCGGCUAACUCCGUGCCAGCAGCCGCGGUAAUACGGAGGAUGCAAGCGUUAUCCGGAUUCAUUGGGUUUAAAGGGUGCGUAGGCGGCUUUUUAAGUCAGUGGUGAAAUCUUGCCGCUUAACGGUAAAAUUGCCAUUGAUACUGAAAAGCUUGAGUACAUUUGAGGUAAGCGGAAUGUGUAGUGUAGCGGUGAAAUGCUUAGAUAUUACACAGAACACCAAUUGCGAAGGCAGCUUACUAAGCCAUUACUGACGCUGAGGCACGAAAGCGUGGGGAUCGAACAGGAUUAGAUACCCUGGUAGUCCACGCCGUAAACGAUGAUCACUCGCUGUUUGCGAUAUACAGCAAGCGGCUGAGCGAAAGCAUUAAGUGAUCCACCUGGGGAGUACGAUCGCAAGGUUGAAACUCAAAGGAAUUGACGGGGGCCCGCACAAGCGGAGGAACAUGUGGUUUAAUUCGAUGAUACGCGAGGAACCUUACCUGGGCUUGACAUGCUGGGAACCCUUAAGAGAGAGUGCCCUUCGGGGAGCCGCGAGACAGGUGCUGCAUGGCUGUCGUCAGCUCGUGUCGUGAGAUGUUGGGUUAAGUCCCGCAACGAGCGCAACCCCUAUCCUUAGUUGCCAUCAUUUAGUUGGGGCACUCUGUGGAGACUGCCGGUGUCAAACCGGAGGAAGGUGGGGAUGACGUCAAGUCCUCAUGGCCCUUAUGUCCAGGGCUACACACGUGCUACAAUGGCCGGUACAAAGGGUUGCAAUACCGCGAGGUGGAGCCAAUCUCAAAAAGCCGGUCUCAGUUCGGAUUGGAGUCUGCAACCCGCCCACAUGAAGCUGGAAUCGCUAGUAAACGUGGAUCAGCAUGUCGCGGUGAAUACGUUCCCGGGGCUU
rnacentral:rRNA from 1 species